UUCACCCUUCCCCCACCCUAAUGAGUAGCAGUUAGGCCUUUGCUCUGAAAGCCUCUCUGUAGACAUGUUGUGUUGUCCAUUUUCCCAGCUGGCAGUAGGUUAUUCAGAAGGCCUAAUAGUGAAGGAGACGGAAGAACUACAGGGAACUAUAAGCUGAGACCUCAACAAAAUUCCACAGUUGAAACUCCAUUUAGCAUUGUUGCAAAUAGCCCAUCACAUCUCCGUAAUUACCUCAUUAUAUUAAUAUGCAGAAACUGGGGUUUAUGACCAUGACUUGCACAGGCAUCAAGAACAGGCAGAAUGCUGUAUAAAAUGCUCUGUUUAGGAAAGCAGAAUUGCACGUAAUGUAUUUUUGAAAUGCUAUUAAAAUAUCUUGAACAGUAUGGCAUAUGGAAGCUUUAGUUAUGUAGAAAUUCUCUGGUGCUGAAGCAAUGAUUUCACUGACUUUAAAGCCAAUAUCUAUUACUGAAAUCCUUUGUCUAGAAAAAUAUAAUGUUAACUUGAGGCCAGAAUUUUUUUUUGAAACCCUGGCAUUCUGGUAUAGUAUUUUGAAUUAGCAUAUCUGCAUAGGCAAAUACUGACAGAAAAGACUUCUCCCUUCUGAGGAAGGAGCCAAAUUUCCACUUGCACCUACCCAGGUUUCAC
rnacentral:lncRNA from 1 species